UGUGAUGACUGUAUUAGAGAGA
rnacentral:miRNA from 1 species